rnacentral:rRNA from 1 species
UACAGAGGGGGCAAGCGUUAUUCGGAAUUAUUGGGCGUAAAGGGCGCGUAGGCGGCCUGGCAAGUGGAAGGUGAAAUCCCUCGGCUUAACCGAGGAACUGCCUCCCAAACUGCCUGGCUUGAGACCGGGAGAGGUGAGUGGAAUUCCCAGUGUAGCGGUGAAAUGCGUAGAUAUUGGGAGGAACACCAGUGGCGAAGGCGGCUCACUGGACCGGUACUGACGCUGAGGCGCGAAAGCCAGGGGAGCGAACGGG